rnacentral:hammerhead_ribozyme from 2 species
AUCUAGUUGAUGAGUUUUAAAUAGGACGAAACCUGUGUCUUGGAU